rnacentral:lncRNA from 1 species
UGAACCUCUUUCACUCUAAGAGGAUCUGUCCUAUGAGAAAGUAUCGGUCGGUAUUAUGGACCGAAAGAUCAGAUUACUCCGCAACCAGAAAAUUUCUUUUGUUAAGUUCCUAUGGCAGAAUCACACACCGAGUGAAGCCACAUGGGGAGCUAGAAUUAGACUUCAGAGCCUGAUACCCCUAACUGUUUGAUUGAGUGAAAGAGAGACAAAUU